GGCUGAUAAGACGUGUUUGCAGUGUAUACAGUUAAAAUCCUUCAAUGCUCAGAGACAAAAUGAAAGCAGGUUAAAGCUAGAACUACAUUAAAAGUUCGUUGUCGGGAAGCUUACCUUGCCUGGCUCUGCUGCACUGAAGUUGAACUAGCUCGCGGUGGCGGCGAGUCCUGUUGUUGCUAGGCAACGAAAGUUUGGUUACUGCAGAACAGAAGCGUCUCAAUUAGUAUACUUCUGUACUUCAAGCACACUCGUUCUAGUUGUACGCUGCCCGCUCUGCUUGCAGUAUGGCUCAGAGACGCUGACGUUGUUUAAUUGAGUACCCUGACACACAAGGGUGGAGUUUGAGACGCACCACACAGUGCUUUCGCACGCAGGCAGCAACCAGGGUAACUUUCAAGGACUUCCUCUGGAUGGUGGCAGAUUGACAACCUCACAUCAGUGAACAUGAAUCUCAUAACUGAUUGGAAAAAUAAAUAAAGUUUUGCACACAA